CCCCCCACCCGGACCGUUCUGGAACCAUCGCACGGUCCUUCUCGUAAGCCUGCCAUGGCAUAGCAUAGAGAAGCACCAGAAGAGAUUUAGCCCACAGGACUGAGAAUUUUUCUCUUCAUCUUUUGGAAGUGCUUUAGCAGCCCUCAAAAAAUGGCCUCUGGUAUCCAUAAUACAUGUCAGUGGCUCUGGCUAGGCAAGAAGGCUAAUUGAUUAAUUGACACUCAUUAUACCUCCUACAGCGUUUCUAUUGAUGUCGGCCUGGCAUUCCUAUGCUGAUAUGCUAAAUGCUGCGCGCAGUUUUUUGUGUUUUGAAGCUGUUACCUCUUCAAAAGAGACCGUUUGUCAUAAGUCUUAGUCUUCUGGUUGAUGUCUGAAGACUGUACAAGCGCCUGGUAUUGCCCCGAUAAAAUGGAGUGUUUAAAUGGCAGUGACAAGUCAAACAUCAGUGGGGCGACAAGGACCCGUCAUAUUGCUGUGUGUUGGCAGGCAAGACGGACUGAUUUUUGUUGCAAGAUUUUUUGCUGUUAUUGUGUCUCAUUGAUCGGCCGGAGAUUAGACUCGCUGAAAACAGUGUAGUGACCCCUUAUUUGACCCCUUAUUUUUUUUCCUCUCUUUUUUUUGUCAUAACGAGGAACACAAAUCCCUUUUGUCCACCAAAUUGUUUUGAGCAGAAUGUCAGCUUGAGGUUUAUGGAUUACUUGCUCUCCAGAGAAUGGAGAUGAAAUGCCCCUGCUCUGGGGAGCGAUCCCAUAUUGCUGGAGAGACCCGGAUAUAACUCAAUAAAGAAGCGCUGGAUAUAGUCUUCACACACACACACACACACACACACACACACACACAGACACAUCACACACACACACACACACACACACACACAGACAGUAGCUGGAUAUAGUCUUCAGGCGGCGUACUCGUACUAGGGCGGGGGACGAGCGCUCCUACGCUUCCCAUUAGUUGGGCUGUGGUUGUCUGCCACGGGCAUUCUAGCACGUAAACAAAGAGGGAGAUCGGCGGCGGCGGCAAACAAUGGCAUGGUAUGGUGCCCCUUUACACACAACACUCGGAGACGCGGUCGGGCUGUAACGCCGCCGUGACUAAAAGUGUAUUCUUUGCGAGGACGCCGGCGGAGCAUAGCUGAGCGUCUGGGGCGGGC
ensembl:lncRNA